ensembl:snoRNA
ACCCCAGAUUCCUCACCCAUCUGAAGUAAGCACUGGGCGGAGUGGCUAUAAAGGGAGAAAAGUAAAAGUGAAACUGACUUAAAAGUAUCUCGUGACAGGCAAGUUCGUUUCAAACCAAC